rnacentral:rRNA from 1 species
GAUGAACGCUGGCGGCGUGCCUAAUACAUGCAAGUCGAGCGAACAGGUAAGGAGCUUGCUCCUUUGACGUUAGCGGCGGACGGGUGAGUAACACGUGGGUAACCUACCUAUAAGACUGGGAUAACUUCGGGAAACCGGAGCUAAUACCGGAUAAUAUUUCGAACCGCAUGGUUCGAUAGUGAAAGAUGGUUUUGCUAUCACUUAUAGAUGGACCCGCGCCGUAUUAGCUAGUUGGUAAGGUAACGGCUUACCAAGGCGACGAUACGUAGCCGACCUGAGAGGGUGAUCGGCCACACUGGAACUGAGACACGGUCCAGACUCCUACGGGAGGCAGCAGUAGGGAAUCUUCCGCAAUGGGCGAAAGCCUGACGGAGCAACGCCGCGUGAGUGAUGAAGGUCUUCGGAUCGUAAAACUCUGCUAUUAGGGAAGAACAUACGUGUAAGUAACUGUGCACGUCUUGACGGUACCUAAUCAGAAAGCCACGGCUAACUACGUG